rnacentral:rRNA from 1 species
GAUAAACGCUAGCGGCAGGCUUAACACAUGCAAGUCGAGGGGCAGCAUAGAUUGUAGCAAUACAAUUGGUGGCGACCGGCGCACGGGUGCGUAACGCGUAUGCAACCUACCCGUCACAGGGGGAUAAUCCGGAGAAAUCUGGUCUAAUACCCCAUAACAUAUGGAUCGGCAUCGGUUCAUGUUGAAAUUUUCGGAGGUGACGGAUGGGCAUGCGUAGCAUUAGCUUGUUGGUGAGGUAACGGCUCACCAAGGCGACGAUGCUUAGGGGGACUGAGAGGUUUUCCCACCACACUGGUACUGAGACACGGACCAGACUCCUACGGGAGGCAGCAGUGAGGAAUAUUGGUCAAUGGGCGCAAGCCUGAACCAGCCAUGCCGCGUGCAGGAUGACGGCUCUAUGAGUUGUAAACUGCUUUUGUACGAGGGUAAAGUGGGUUACGUGUAACCUUUUGAAAGUACCGUACGAAUAAGGAUCGGCUAACUCCGUGCCAGCAGCCGCAGUAA